rnacentral:rRNA from 1 species
UACGAAGGGGGCUAGCGUUGUUCGGAAUUACUGGGCGUAAAGCGCACGUAGGCGGAUACUUAAGUUAGGGGUGAAAUCCCAGAGCUCAACUCUGGAACUGCCUUUAAUACUGGGUAUCUCGAGUCCGGAAGAGGUGAGUGGAAUUCCGAGUGUAGAGGUGAAAUUCGUAGAUAUUCGGAGGAACACCAGUGGCGAAGGCGGCUCACUGGUCCGGUACUGACGCUGAGGUGCGAAAGCGUGGGGAGCAAACAGGG